AUCUAUGGCCAUUCCAUCCUGAACUCGCUCGAUCUCAUUUACUCUUGAAAGCUAAGCAGCGUCAGGCCUGGUUAAUACUUGGAGGGAGAAUGCAGCAAAUCAUCAACA
rnacentral:rRNA from 1 species